rnacentral:rRNA from 1 species
UACGAAGGGUGCAAGCGUUAUUCGGAUUUAUUGGGCGUAAAGGGUGCGCAGGCGGAUUGUUAAGUCAAUUGUUAAAUCCCUCGGCUCAACCGGGGGGCUGCAGUAGAUACUGGCAAUCUAGAGGGUGGAAGAGAGAAGUGGAAUUCUCGGAGUAGCGGUAAAAUGCGUAGAUCUCGAGAGGAACACCAAUGGCGAAGGCAGCUUCUUGGUCCACAUCUGACGCUCAUGCACGAAAGCGUGGGGAGCAAACAGG